UACGUAGGGGGCAAGCGUUGUCCGGAUUUACUGGGCGUAAAGAGCUCGUAGGCGGUUUGUCGCGUCGGCCGUGAAAUCUCCACGCUUAACGUGGAGCGUGCGGUCGAUACGGGCAUCACUGGAGUUCGGCAGGGGAGACUGGAAUUCCUGGUGUAGCGGUGAAAUGCGCAGAUAUCAGGAGGAACACCGGUGGCGAAGGCGGGUCUCUGGGCCGAUACUGACGCUGAGGAGCGAAAGCGUGGGGAGCGAACAGG
rnacentral:rRNA from 1 species